GCCAGGCAUGGUGGUGCAUGCCUGUAAUCCCAGCUACUUGGGAGGCUGAGACAGGAGAAUUGCUUGAACCUGGGAGGCGGAGGUUACAGUGAGCCGAGAUCACACCACUGCACUCCCGCCUGGGCGACAGAGCGAGACUCCGUCUCAA
ensembl:misc_RNA Metazoa_SRP Metazoan signal recognition particle RNA